GAUCCUGGCUCAGGAUAAACGCUGGCGGCGUGCUUAACACAUGCAAGUCGAACGAAGUUUUUCUUUCGGGAGAAACUUAGUGGCGGACGGGUGAGUAACGCGUGGGUAACCUGCCCUGUACAGGGGAACAACAGCUGGAAACGGCUGCUAAUACCGCAUAAGCCCUUAGCACUGCAUGGUGCAUAGGGAAAAGGNGUAAUCCGGUACAGGAUGGACCCGCGUCUGAUUAGCCAGUUGGCAGGGUAACGGCCUACCAAG
rnacentral:rRNA from 1 species